CACGGAGUUAGCCGGGGUUUCUUUACCGGGUACCGUCAUUAUCUUCCCCGGCGAAAGGGCUUUACGACCCUAAGGCCUUCAUCACCCACGCGGCAUGGCUAGAUCAGGCUUGCGCCCAUUGUCCAAGAUUCCCCACUGCUGCCUCCCGUAGGAGUCUGGGCCGUGUCUCAGUCCCAGUGUUGCUGAUCAUCCUCUCAAACCAGCUACCGAUCGUCGGCUUGGUGCGCCGUUACCACACCAACUACCUAAUCAGACGCGGGCCGAUCCCUUGCCGGCCGAAGCCUUUCCCCCUCAGGGCACAUCCGGUAUUACCCCCGGUUUCCCAGGGCUAUUCCAGAGCAAAGGCACGUUCCACGCGUUACUACCGUCGCCGCUGACGCCCGAAAGCGCCCGCUCGACUUGCAUGUGUUAAGCCUGCCGCCAGCGUUCGUUCUGAGCCAGGAUCAAACUCU
rnacentral:rRNA from 1 species